AAUGUGGACAGAUUUGCCUGCUUGCAACCACGUAAAAAAAUGCUAAAAU
rnacentral:ncRNA from 1 species